UGACCCAUGGUGUAAUUGGCAACACAGCUGGUUUUGGUCCAGCCGUUAGAGGUUCGAGUCCUCUUGGGUCAA
rnacentral:tRNA from 1 species